rnacentral:rRNA from 1 species
UACGGAGGGUGCAAGCGUUACUCGGAAUUAUUGGGCGUCAAGGGUGCGUAGGCGGUUUGGCAAGUCUUGUGUGAAAUCUUUGGGCUCAACCCACCGUCUGCACAAGAAACUGCCGGGCUUGAGUAUGGGAGAGGUGAGUGGAAUUUCCGGUGUAGCGGUGAAAUGCGUAGAUAUCGGAAGGAACACCUGUGGCGAAAGCGGCUCACUGGACCAUUACUGACGCUGAGGCACGAAAGCUAGGGGAGCAAACAGG